rfam:Nipponia nippon contig119987, whole genome shotgun sequence.
UGUCUCUCUCGGGUCUUUUUGCGGUCUGGGCUUGCUGUUCCUCCCGCCAGCAGUCAGGAAGCCCUUACCCCAAAAAGUAUCCGCGAGGGAUC